GGGGCGUGGCCCAAUCCAAUCGCCCACACUCCGCAACCCUCCCUCCCUCCUCAAUCUCUCUCCCUCAGCCGCCACAAACCCUAGGUCCUCCCCUUCUGCCCUGCUCUCCACCGCGCCGCCUCCUCCUCCCCUUCACCAUUCCCUCCAGCGGCAGGCACAGGGAGACAACGGCGGCGCUUGAUUUCAUCCGCCCCGCUCCCCUCCCUCUCCAUUGCGCCUCGGCCUCGGCCACCCCGUGCUCUGCCGGCGCCCGUCGGCCUCGAUCCAGCCUCAGCAGGAGGAGCUCGCCGUCGAGACACGAGGAGGGGAGCAGCAGGAUACAGGAGCAUGGCCUUCUUCUCGCGCUGCAGCCGCCGGCCUUGUCGUGCUCGAGGAGGAGGAGCAGCAGGAGGGGUGCACCCAGCCACCAAGGUAGCCGUCGUCGAGGGCUUCUUACACCUGAACCUCGACCUCCACGGCGCUGGCGUCCAGCCACUCGAGUUCAAGGGAAGGAGAGGAGGAUGACGCCCAGACAUGGAGAGGAACAGCAGUAGCUCAAGAAAAAUGAAGCAAGACAAGCUGGAGAAGCUCGCAUGGACAUCCAAUUUCAUGUACCACUCAACUGAACCGAGUUACUUGUGGAGACUAUAAGAAGAAUUUAUAGGAAGAGUUUGAUCAAGAAGAGCAAGGCUGACACCCGUAGUUGUUUGGCAUCAAAUUCAGAAGAUACACAUCAUAAGAUUGAAGCAAUGCUACCUGAACCAAAGGGUUGUACGCCCACCAUUAUUAAUAUUCCAUACUAUUCGUGUUCUUCAGAUCCCAAUAAUUUAUUUGGUCUUGCUUUUGACACAAAACACAAGUACAGGCAAAGAGAAGACGAGGUCGAACUCCAACACCGGAAGGUAUCUUGGCACCAAACCAUCAUGAGGAGAAGGGGAUGUGUUGCUGUACAUGAGAUAAGCAGCCCAGUUCAGAAGUGCUUUAUAGAGGUCCUGUAAGCUUUCUAGACAUACAUGUUGUUUCCAGUCUCUCUCGGCUUCCCCAAUCCUAGAGAUUAAAGGCGGCCAAGGCCAGGGAGGACGAGGUCAGGGAGUACAAGAGUGAUGUGCUGAACCCCUCCGCGGAGGAGUUCAUGCCGCUCUCCCGUCGCUAGGGGGACGGCGCAUGCCACCUAUCGGCCGACGCGCCCGUCUUCGUCUCGCCCGGGAUCGACUACUAUGCUCCUCCGUCCACCAACUCUGUCCGUGCAGGUGGCCUGUUUCCUUCCACCCCAACCUUCUCCACUGUCUCCCCAGCUGGUACAGGUGUGAUCUUCAUGGAGCUAGCCAUCAUUGGAUUUGGUAAUACAUAAUCACUUAAUCAGAGAGCCCAAGGUGAGAAGGGACGAGCAUCUAGAACACCACCACCUACUAAUCAGAGUUUCCUACCUUUCUUCUGCAAAUCUGGAAUGCCUUUAUGGCAUGAUCAUGCAAAAAAAGUACCUUGAUGCAAUAAUGGAUUUGAUUAUCAUUGGUUACUCUGUUUUCAUGAAUUACUAUCCAACUGUAAGUCUGUUCUAUACCCUAAGGCCGAUGUAAAUCUGAUAGAAGAUUAAGUUAUUUAAUUUUAACUAAAAAGGAUAAUUUUCUUUCAGUCGCUUGAACCUGUCCAGACCUGAAAAAUACUUAUACUUUGAAAGCUUGAUACAUGAGUAUGUAAUUUUACAGGUAUGUAGAUAGCCAACAAUGUUAUUGUUCAAAUGUACUCGAGCCAGGUUUUCGGUGUUUCAUUGGAACCAAAAGAAUUGCUAAUAUUGUUUUGAUGAAAACAUGGUCGCACUUGUCGGUGUUGUAGUGGCAUAGGAAUUUUUUUCCCUGAGAUCCACUAUGAAGUUGAUUGAAAGUCCAUUUCCCUAAGAUCCACUAUGACAAUGAAAAAGAUUUCUGAAAACUGUGUCACCAUAAAUGUUCCAUCAUUGUCCAUAGCAGUCCCGUGCCAUAUUAAUUUCAGAAGAAUAAAUUCUUAUUCAGAUGUUCAUUGUGUUUUUAUGUACUGCUAUAUCUAAAAAAGCAAGUUUCAGCUAAAACCAGAGUCGUGGUUAAGAUACUCUUCCCACCUAGGAUAUGUGUAUAUGUUCAGAUUGCUAACUUUAAACUAUAGUUGUAGAAAAUGUGGUGCCCUCGCUUAUUUUUCUAAUGCAUGAACUUAGGGUAAAUGUUUUAUGUGUAAUGCGUGCUUGAUUUCUUUUUGAUUCUAGUGGAUUUUGAUUUUCUCCACCAUGCUUCUCUCCAACGGGAUGAGUCUGUUUUUGCAGCAGCGGGUGAUGCAUGUGCUUAUUGUUGGCUGUUGCUAUGUGGUAUGCAUUUUCUCAUUGUUUGCUGUUUGUUGUUUGCUAUGAUUAAGAUACAUUGGCAUGUACAUUUUAUAUCAGUAUUGUUUUCAACACCACCUAUCACUGUAUAAUUUGCCGUUAAUAGAGUAGUUUCUCCUUUGUUGCAUUGCAUAAUGCUAGCAAGCUACAUUGCACCAUAAACAAAAAUAAUCCUCUUCCAAGGUUAAACCUGUGUUUUUCCUUCUAGUAAAGAUCUUCUCUGGAAAAGAUCAAUUCCGUUAGCCUAUAAUAUUGCAGUUCUUUCGUAUCCUUCAAAGAUUCAUAAAUAUUUUCUGUUUCCACUCCAUUCGUUCUCAUGGAUUUUGAAAAAAAUAUUUUUUUUGUUGAUUAAUAAUAUUGCUUUCCCUUUCAGUUUUGUGGUGGUCGAUGCAUGUAGAAUAUACAGACUUUCCUAGAAUGGCGCCUUUUAGUUUUUCUGCUUGAUGUUAGGUCAUUGAUGAGAACACCUACGUAUAUGAUUGAUGCAUUCAUGAUAUCCUAUAUACUGAGAAAUAUUUUUGUUUUCCGGACAUUAUUUUCUAAAUCAUAUCAACAUAUUACCUGAUAUGGUCUUUGAAGUUUCUAUUUUAUUGCGAGCUUUGCACUGGUCAACUUGAGUAUGGUAUGGUUAUCUUUUCUUUUGUUUACAGGCGAUGUGUGGUAGAAGCUGUACUCACUGGAAGACUAUCGUGCUGUGUAUAAACCAUGUUCUAUGAUUCACUUCUGUUAUGCAUAUUUACUUUCCAGUUUUAGGACUGAAAUCUAUCCAUUGUAAUGAAUUUGGUUGUAUGGGCAUUACCUAUUUGACUUCGGCUUGCUUCAUCACAUAUAGACUGCUUUUCUUUUCCCCAUUGCGUGUAUGACCUAAAACUAUCAUGUAUAUGAGGCAAGUUAUUAGCAAUGUUUCACA